AAUAAAUAGUUCCUGAUAACUUUGUGAAUCCAAUUGUUCCUAAUUGCCGGCAGAUUUUUGUACCCAAAGCCUUUUGGAUCCAAUUGUCAGAUUAAUUGUGCUUGGAUAACUUGGAUAAAAACAAUAAAGAAAAGCGAUUGCCUUGCGCCACGUCCUGUAAAUCCUGGAAAUAUUACUACCGCUUGAAGCGUCACUAUGCAUAUGUAGCUCGGAAUACAUAUAAGAUAUUUCAUAUGCUUCCAGAUGCACCUAUGUACGUCAAAUGGAAUCUGCUUAGAAGUCACUCAAAACAUUAUGGUGGCUUUUUGUUCCUGAAGUUUGCAACAAUACAAUAUUUGUUUAAUGCGUAUAUACAGUAUAUUUUGCUUUGCUGCCUCUAUGCUUAAGUGCACAUUUAAGAUACCUACCCCAAAAUGCGCAU